rnacentral:rRNA from 1 species
GAUGAACGCUGGCGGCGUGCUUAACACAUGCAAGUCGAACGGAAAGGCUCCUGCUUGCAGGGGUACUCGAGUGGCGAACGGGUGAGUAACACGUGGGUGAUCUGCCCUGCACUUCGGGAUAAGCCUGGGAAACUGGGUCUAAUACCGGAUAGGACGAUGGUUUGGAUGCCAUUGUGGAAAGUUUUUCGGUGUGGGAUGAGCUCGCGGCCUAUCAGCUUGUUGGUGGGGUAAUGGCCUACCAAGGCGUCGACGGGUAGCCGGCCUGAGAGGGUGUACGGCCACAUUGGGACUGAGAUACGGCCCAGACUCCUACGGGAGGCAGCAGUGGGGAAUAUUGCACAAUGGGCGCAAGCCUGAUGCAGCGACGCCGCGUGGGGGAUGACGGCCUUCGGGUUGUAAACUCCUUUCGCUAGGGACGAAGCGCAAGUGACGGUACCUGGAGAAGAAGCACCGGCUAACUACGU